rnacentral:pre_miRNA from 1 species
AGCUGGUAAAUCGGAACCAAAUCAUAUUACAAAUGGAUUUGGUCCCCUUCAACCAGCUGU